UGGUUACAUUCUGUUGAUAAAAUCACUACCAUAUUAGUAUGCUGAUAUAACAGGAAUGGCCGUAAUUAUUCAAGGUCCUUAUUAUGGCAUUAUCAGUGUCAUCAGCUUCAGAAAGGAAACUUUCCAGUUGUCAGAAGAUUAUGCUCAUGGUACAGCUCAGCAAAGGUGGUUCUCUUGUUACCAUUCGGAUAGCCCAGAGGAAGCGUCCAGACGCCCAUCUGUGUUCGAAGAAGUGUCUGAACACCUCAGCAGACACCAACCACAGGGAACUCAUGUUCGCAUAGAUGUCCGGAUAGCCCAGCGAACAUCAACUAUCGAGAGUAUCUGUUUGCACAGGUGUUCAAACAGCAAACUGAAGGCUGUGAACAGUGAAGACAGCAUGUAACCGUCCGGACAUUAAGGCUAUGCCGUCCGGACUCGAUGACUGAAGAUUAUUGAAGAAACGCAUGAAACCACGUGAAAAGAAGUCGGUUGCAGCUUGCCGUCCGAACACCACCCAGAGAACUCCGAAUCAGCCCAUUGAAGUCUAGCUUGGGGAGGAGUCCUAAGCUAAAGGAGUCUAUUGAAGACCCCUUCAAGUAAAAGACCUGAUUAGAAAGCGUUCACGUAUAGGUACGUGUCAUAAUUAAAAGAAUGACUACUGCAUAUGAGGUAUGUGAGUACGAGUGCUUUGUAACUAGCUUUGUUUUCUGAAUAGUGGAUUUCCCGAGUUUGGCUGCUCCGGAGUGGUUUUUUUCUUAA